UUCUCAAGUAUAUUUUCGAAAUUAUUAUAUUAUUUUUGCUAUAAAUAUAAAUAGAAACGAACCAUGAACCGGAGAGUUCUGCAGUAAUUGUAUUUUUCGGUUAAUUUCAAACCAUUUACUCUUGAAGGGAAAUGUGGGAGUACAUUUAAUUUUAAUAUUUCAUUAUGCAAGUAAAAGGUUUUCAACAAGAAGACUGCUAAUUAAAACAGGCUCUUUGGUUGAAGUUUCCUAUGUAAAUAGAUACACCUAAUUGCAAUAACGCUGUUAUAGAAAAAAGCGAAAAGCACAAAGCCAAAUAGGAAUUAAUUAGCCAAAUUUAAAUUUCCAUUGUUUUCAGAUACUGUGCAUGAAUGAAAAAUAUAAUGUACAUGAAUAACAUGAAUGAAAAAUGUAUUUUUCAUUCAUGUACAGUAUUUAAGAACAAUGGAACUUUAAAUUUCCCAAAUUAAUUCCUAUUUGGCUUUUUGCUUUUUUCUAUGACAACGUGAUUGCAAUAAGUUGUAUGUAAAUAAUGCAGUUCUCCUAAGCAAGAUUAUCUGCGAAAAACUUUUUACUUCUCACUUCACAGUGCUACCGUGACACAAAGUAGAUAAAACCCUUUUAACAUAUUGCGCCCCAAAGUUUUUUUCACAUAAAGCUACCUACAUUGUACCUCUGGACCUUUUCUUUGCCGGAGCAGAAAAUUAUUGGGUUAUUUGCUGCGUAAUUUUGACACUUUUCAAGUGGGCUUGUGUGUGUAACAUGUUUCCGCAAAGCAUCAUUGGGUGAAUUUGCAGGCCAAUUUGAAGAUACAACAGAGAUAAUGCGUACUUUUACCAGCAAAAUUGUAUUUUGUAUGAUUUGAAAUAACCUAAUUUUUUCAGAUGACUGUUAGCCGCAGGGAAAUAGCAUAGGGCAACAACAGUACGAUAUAAAUUAUCAGUGAAGCCGCUGGGGAAAGUUCUGUUCACGGCCAGUCAAUUUGUCUGGUGCCCGACCCUUAAUGAAACAGCUGUUCAUUAUUGUUAUGCAAAACAAAGGGAAACCAUGAGAUGAUAAAUAUUAUGCCCCUAUGUGAAAUAAAUCAUACACGUGACAAGAAUCUUUGCAACUACAUGUACAUGUAUACAAAAACUACUGUAUUUACGGUGGGUAACACCUAACAGCAAGACAAAGAAAGCCUGAAAGAAUUAAUAUUCAGUCACCCACUGCUACAUGUAGAGGGAUUACAGUCAAACCUCUGAUAAGUGGACACCAUUGGAACUUUGUCUGCAAGUGUCCACACAAUACAGGGUGUCCACUUACUUGUAUGUUAGGAAGAUUAGAAAGUUAACUUAGGUUCAGACUGAUGGGUUAAAUUACUAAACUAGAAUUAAGAGUAUUUUAAGAAUAGGAACCACAUAUUUAUUUAAUACAUGUAUGUUUAUAUGUAUAAUGUAAUCUUCUUGAUCAAAACUAACUCUAGCAACUGGUCAUCUCUAGUAAAACUUUGACUUCCAUUUAUUCUAGAGCCUAACAAUGUAUAAACAUGGAAAAUUUCAUAGAUGACACUGAUUUAUUACACAUUAUUAUAAGUUCCAUUACGGCAUUUAACGUCACAAUGAGAUAAAAUUGUGGGUUCGGCUGGAUUCAGUUUUAUGGCUGCCAAAAAUAUCCUGUCUUUAGAGCUUCUUCCUUUGCGUGGCCAUUUUCCUCGAAGAAAGAGAGAGGCGUCUGGGAACGAGGCAGCUAUUGAUCCCAGACGUCUAUUGAAAUGGCUUUCUUUCAAGCCAAUAUUGCAUGCACCAUUGGGUUCAUUCACAUAAUUUAAAAAAAUGAUUACACGUGAUAAUGAAUUUCAUGAUCAUGUGAUGGGUGAACCUCUGCUGUUGGGUAAGUUGCUUCACACUUUGUUUGCAAGUUUGUUAAGUUUUGCACUUUCUAGGAAGAUACAAUCCAAGAUAUGUGGCAGAAAAGAGUUUGACAGAUGCAAAAUCCAUUACUCGGAUGAGAUUAAGUUUGCCUUAAACUUGUUACUUUUGAGGAAUUUGCAAUAGCUGUGCUGCAAACUUGCCAUCCAUGCCAAGAGAUGUUUGUCAUCAUGUGAUCAUUUUUUUAAUCACGUGAAUGAAACCAAUGGUGGGUGAUGAACAAGAGCCUGAAAAAAAAAAGCUAUUUCAACAGAUGUUUGGGAUCACAGGAGUCAUUUAGGUGACAAAUCCUUUCAGACCUUAAUGUGUGAAGUUGAAUCUAUUAUCAACUUGAAACUGCUCGCAACAAUCUCAAGCGAUGUUAAAUAAUUAUCCUUUCUGGCUAUCGCAGAUUAUUAAGAUUAGUUUAUAGUGGUUCAGUUGUUCAGCAUAUUGCUUUAAGUAGACACAGGUUCUUAGCAGUCAAAUUCUGGUUGCAUGACAGCUGUUAUAUAAUUAUAAAUGUACAUGUACAUGUAAGCCCUAUUUAUUUUCCCAGCAUACACGUCCUGCAUUCUGUGGACAAGAUUAUUGGUAAAAUAAAUCAAUAGGGGGACCCUUCUGGGUAGAUGUUGCUAUCAUUCUGCAUGCUAUAGGCACAGUUUGCCCUGUCCUGUUGUUCUACCAUUCAUGUUAAGGCAGCAGUCUCUUGUUUGUUAUUUGCAGUUUUUCCAUUGCUUACAAGGCUUUAAUGCGUUAAGACCUUUCCUUUUUGUUACCAGAAAGAAAGCAGAGAAGCAUCAAUAAAGUCUAUGUGCUGAGACGUAUGGAAAAUCAAUUCACUUUGAGAUUUAGAUCCCACGUGAGUCCUUAGCGCUUGUUGUACUGUGACAUGACGCUGGCCUGGAGGUAGUCAACAAGAGCACAAUUCUGUUGCUUGCUGAAGGACGCCUUCAGUAUUGAAAAUACUCUUUCUGCCAUCAUGAUAGCAGACGAUGGUUGGACAAGGAGAACUUACUUCACUGCAGAAGCCCAACGAGGAAGUUGCUCCUCGUGCCCACACCACCAUUCGACUUUCUUCUCUUCAGUCGGGAUAACAACAUCUUCGGCAGCACAGCCAUCUUGUUUGUACAUGUACAGAUACAAACCAGAAUGCUGUGUGCUGAGACUUACAUGUAUUUGGAGAAAGAUUCAUAUUGAGGCAAUAGAUUCCAUUAUCAGUUUGUCAAACUUGAGUGAUCAAGGAAUUACAUAAAGGUUACAGGAAAAGAGAAAAGAGUUGUGCUGAGACUUGAGAGGAGAAAGAAUCAAAUUGAUACAUUGGAUCCCAUAGUAGAUACAAAACAGAGGAGCAAGGAAAAGAGCUGUGCUGAGACUCAAGAGGAGAAAGAAUCAAAUUGAUACAUUGGAUCCCAUAGUAUAUACAAAACAGAGGAGAAACAAUGAAAGCUAUGAGGAGAAAAAUUAAAUCAAUAUUGGACCCUCUAUUAGGUGAGUCACGAUUUUCUUUUGAAAGGAAGGGUGUAAGAUACUACUGUACAAUAUUCAGGACAUUGUUUUUCCUUUAUUUUAGCUUGCAUUUAUGUAUGUCUUUCUUCUUUUAUGAUAAUAAUAUCGUCUUUAAUUUAAAUAUUAAUUUAAAUUAACUUAGCAUGCAGCCAACGCCAACUUAUAUCUACAUGACAGUGACCAACUCGAAAGCUCAUUGGCUACUUUGGUCACUGUGCACAAUUAAAU